CCUACGUGUGGCAGCAGUGAGGAAUAUUGGUCAAUGGGCGCGAGCCUGAACCAGCCAAGUAGCGUGAAGGAUGACUGCCCUACGGGUUGUAAACUUCUUUUAUCAAGUAAUCCAGUCAUGCACUUGUGCCUUUUUGUAUGUACUUUAUGCAUCAGGAUCGUCUAACUCCGUGCCAGCAGCCGCGGUAAUACGGAGGAUCCGAGCGUUAUCCGGAUUUAUUGGGUUUAAAGGGAUCGUAGAUGGGUUGUUAAGUCAGUUGGGAAAGUGUGCGGCUCAACCGUAACAGUGCAAGUGAGACUGGCAGUCUUGAGUGCAGGUGAGGUAGGAGGAAUUCGUGGUGGAGCGGUGAAAUGCUUAGAUAUCACGAAGAACGCCGAUUGCGAAGGCAGCUUACUAAACUGACACUGACACUGAUGCUCGAAAGUGUGGGGAUCAAACAGGAUUAGAGACCCCAGUAGUC
rnacentral:rRNA from 1 species